rnacentral:misc_RNA from 1 species
AGUUUGUUAUCGUUUCAGAGGAUACGACGAUUUCUGCAAACUUCAUAAAAUAGUAGAACCUAAUUGGAAGAAAAGAUAGUAUCAAGAAGAAUAUUAAGCGAAUCCUUGAAUAACUACGAUAUUAAAAGCAGAAGUCAACAAGUUUCAAUUAUCUAAACAAAACAACUUGCAAAUAGCGUUUGCUCUACAAACAGUGGAUCGCGAGUCGCGGUUGAAACGUGCGCAAACAUCGUCUCGGGAGGAUACCGAGGAGCCUUCAGAAAAGCUCGUAGACGUUGCUGAGGAUGUCGUAACUCAUCAUUCGCCUAUUGACACCUGUUCAAACGCGGUGGCUGGUGAAGGGACGGCAAAGGUCGCGAUCGAAAAGAGUCGCGUUCACGGGAAUCGCCGUGUCACCCACACACGUCGUUGGCCUCUUGUUAAGGAAGCCGCAAUUUAACAGGAGCGGGAUAAUACGACGAAGAAGGAAAGGACGGGGAGUCUCCUUAAAGCCUACGCGGCUAGGUCGGCCCACUUGAGAAGGCUCGAAUGCGUCGAGCACACUCUGAGAUGCAUGAUCGAAAGGACAGGGGUAGGCGCUAAGAAUGACCUGCCUACGAUCGUCUAAUUAGGCGUAAACCGCGUUCCUCGUGUUCCUUAUGCGUUGCCAAGCCGGCAGAAUAUGGUUCCGUGGAUGAUCUGCGUGAACCGACACGUGGGCUACAGGAUAUUAAUCGUCGCGGGAACAAGAGACUUGUUAGGCGCGGGUCGAACGACUUAUCUUUCAAGAUCGCAACUAGAAUAUGUUUUAUAUUUGAUUAACUACAGGGCUAACCUUUGACUAUCUAUCGAAUAGUUUU